UCUGAUCUGGAAGGAUAUUUUGAAAACUUUCAUGGUAUUCAGGCAAUGUACAACUACAACAGUUGAGAAUGGUAAACAAACUUCAUUUUGGUUUGACUGCUGGGCUGAUGAAAAACCAUUGUGUGAAACAUUUCCAUCCCUGUUUGCUCUCACUGUCAAUCGGGAUCUAAUAAGUGUCGCUUCAUUCCAGGCCAAGAUCUGUAUCGAAGCUAACUU
rnacentral:lncRNA from 1 species